rnacentral:lncRNA from 1 species
AGGAUUUUCAUUAUUAAUAAGAUGAAAUGUAAGGCUUCUAAUUAAGCGGAAAACAAACCAGUGUAAACUACACCCAGAACACACAAACCUAUUAGGUUUUAAAUUUAAUAAUAAAUCAUUUAUCUAAAGCCCGGCUGAUUUGUUGCAUGAUGUUACUUGAUAAGGGUUUAUUUCAUUUUUGCAAUUUUUCUUCCUUCUAUUCUUAGUAUUCUUAUACCAAAACAACAGUAAGUUUGGGGUUUGAACCCCUGUGCUGAAAUGCAGCUAUUCAAUAUGAUUAUCAGGUGACAAACAAGAGUAUCAUUCAUUUGGGAGGGCUAAUUUAAAAGUAAAAUGCAAUGUCUAAUAGCAAUAGAGCACUAAGUUAGAACUGCACUGUUGGACUGUAAAAACAAAAAAUACUAGAGAAAAGAAAUUACAAAUUUCAUCCAGAAAAAUGCUAAAUAGCCCUUGCCCUUGGGAACCUUCAGAACCAAGUAAGCAGUGACUUCCAAAGGAUUUUAAAUACUAUCUAAUGUGGAAUUUGCCACAUGGAGACAAUUACUCAGGGAAAACCUUUGAAAGUUAAAGUAGUACCUGCCUAAAAGUGAUGUAACUUGGCUCUGCCUGUCUGAAGCAAUUACUGUUUCAUAACAAACUAAUUACCAACUAUGAGCAUUAUACAUAAUUCUGCUCAGUUACUUGUAUGAAACAUAGGUGACUGCAAGGUACCACACAUGCAGCUGAAGCUGUGUAGUAACUCUUUUUUCUGUGAUCUUUGAGUAGAAAAUAGCUGUUCAUAAUUGGUGACCAACUAUCAGUCAACAGAUUCUAUUUCACUUAUUCUGCCACGUUUUCAUAGCUCCACAAAUCCUCAUUUUAAAGUGAACAUUUUUCCUAUUAUCACCUGUUAAUAGAUCUUAUAUAAUCUAGGGAAAGACACUCAUGGCUUCUGUUUUUUCUGACAGACAAGGAUACCAAAGGAUCUUGCAACAUGUUCUAGAGAAUAUGGUCACAAGUGCUCUGUUCAAAGUUUCUCAAGCACCAAAUAGACAGCAGUGCCAGUGGUUGACCAAGCGUUGCUAUCUUCUGAACAAUGAAGUCUGGUUUUGUUUACAAGGUAAUGAAUUCCAAAGGAAAGUGACAACAACAGGUUUAAAAGUGAUUUUUCCUGUUUUUUUCCAAAUAGUUUCCAGCAAUUAA